AUGACCAGGCAGUCCAACUACGAUCUCGCCGGGAGAGCGAUCUGGAAGGACCUCGUGAGCAACCCGGGCCUAGUGUCCACGGAUGCGGUGGUGUCCUUCAGGACGGCCAUGUGGUUCUGGAUGACGGCGCAAGGCAACAAGCCAUCGUCCCACGACGUCGCCCUCCGCCGCUGGACGCCGACGGCCGCCGAUACCGCUGCCGGUCGGGUGCCUAGAUACGGCGUAAUCACCAAUAUCAUCAACGGCGGGCUCGAGUGUGGCAUGGGCCAGAACGAUGCCAACGUCGAUCGCAUCGGCUACUACAUGCGCUACUGUGGCAUGCUCGGCACAGACACUGGAGGCAACCUCGACUGCUACACCCAACGAAACUUCGCUAGCUAG
rnacentral:rRNA from 1 species